ACCAUCUUACUAGGAAAGGGGCUGGGGAGAUGGGCACUGAGAAGAAAGCAAAUGACUUUCUGAAAAGAUAAAGAGCCCAUAGGAGAAGAGCUGGGAGAUUUAAAGCUUUGUGACAAUGUCUGUUUAGGUGCAGUGUGAAGACUUCCCCUUUCCGUGGCCCCUAGGGAGGGCAUUUAUGACAACUGAAUUUUUUUGUUCUUUGGGGAGGCUCUGCUUUUAGGCAGAUAAGAAAUUUCAGGAACUCAAAUGCCUUCUCAAAAUUAUUUUAAUGCCACCGUGGUGUAUUCUGGUUCUGUUCCCCACGCCUCCAACCUGUAGCAAUAAAUUGUUCACAACAUUGUCACAAACAUUUCUAAAUUACCUCAACUCCUCUCUGCAGUUCUUAACAUGUGUUUGGUAAGGUAUAGGGAGCGCUCUUCUUCAUUUGUAAUUCUAAACAGCAUUUGACAGUUUUAUGCAGAUCAGUGCUGAAGAAAUUAUUUCUCAUAGCUAUGGCAACAGUGGGAGAACCGUCUGGAAGGCCGCUCUAGGGCCUCCAGGCUUUCCCCCCAAACAGGUUUCUCCAGGUUCGCUUUGCCCAGCUGCUAGGCCCUUCCGCCCAAGGAGGCACAUGGGGUGACACAGAGGUUUGGUAACGUAGAUGCUCAAAGAGGAAGGUUGGCUCUCUUCCCUUGGUGGGGGCUGUGGGAUGGCAAGAGAUAAGAAGUUUCUGGGAAGAAAAGAAUGAAAGAGAGAGGAUAAAAGACUUCAGAUAAGGGGCCAAUGAGAAGAGCAUUUCUGCCAGCAUUGCGAGAAGCGGAACAAAUAAAAGCAAGCUUGCUGUCGGGUCACGACUGAAAACAACUGGACAACAAGACACGUCCCCCAGAUGUCACCGAAGCCGGGGGAAUUUACAGAUGCAGAAGAACCCAGAAGCCGGCCGGCUUACCGCUCCAGGUGCCGAGCUCUCCCCUUCCUGCUCCUCUUCAGGAACGCGGUUGUUGUUCAAGAGAUACUUGCAUCCCCACUAAUUAUCUUAAGAGCGAAUCAGAAGGUGGGCAUCCCAGGCCCUCUGAAUAGCUGCUGCUCAGCCAGACCAGAAGCAAAACAAUGACCUCAGGUGGCACUGGUGCAACCUCUCUGGGAGAGGAAGGAAAGGAAAGUCACUUCCGUGGUGCACCCUGCCGAGCGCAAUUUUAGGAGAGGUCCAUUGCCUUUUGUUAAUUGGAAAAAUAAAUCUUCUCUUUUUUUCUUUUAAUUGCUUAGGCUUCCUUUGCAUGGUCCAUGUUCAUAUAGGCUUGGCCCUUUAUGGGUGUCCGGCGGUGCCCCUCGUGAGAGGCACCUGUGUUGUGCUUUCAGCAGUGAAGCUGAAGGCAGGUCUUCUUCCUCUGCCUCUCCAAAGCCGUCUCACCACCGUGUGGUGGCCCCGGGGCUGUUGCUGGCUCUCCUGCCCCGACUGGAAGCGGGCACUGAGCUGCCUGUCAUAUUCCUCCUCGCUUAAAGGAAGCCGGCACCACUACCUCAGUCCUCCUGGCUUUCCUUCUCACCUAACUUGCUCUAAAGUGGUGCUUUUUAAACUUUAGUGCAAAGCUUCUGGGGAUCUUGUUCCUGUGUAGACUCUGAUUCAGUAGGUCUGGGUCGGGGUCCGGGAUUCUCCAACUGCAUGAGGCUCCUGGGAGGUGUCCCAUGCAGCUGGGCCUCAGACCGUGCUGAUUACAGACAACAUCUACCAGCUUCUCCGACCAAGGCAAAAUGGAGCAUCUGGAGAAUACGGAGUCCUAAAAGAGAUUUAAAGAAAAUUAAUAACCGUAAACUGUGCCAACCGUGCACAGACUAGUUUACUAAAGUAGCCUGCUCUUCAAAACACCCCCACCCCCACCCAGUAUCCUGAGAAAGCAUUUAGGGCCAGCUGCCACACCAAUAUUUUUUGCUGGACUCUCUCCCCCGUGUUUUAU